rnacentral:rRNA from 1 species
AUUGAACGCUGGCGGCAUGCCUUACACAUGCAAGUCGAACGGUAACGGGCCUUCGGGUGCCGACGAGUGGCGGACGGGUGAGUAAUACAUCGGAACGUGCCCGAUCGUGGGGGAUAACGAGGCGAAAGCUUUGCUAAUACCGCAUACGAUCUACGGAUGAAAGCAGGGGACCGCAAGGCCUUGCGCGGACGGAGCGGCCGAUGGCCGAUUAGGUAGUUGGUGGGAUAAAGGCUUACCAAGCCGACGAUCUGUAGCUGGUCUGAGAGGAUGAUCAGCCACACUGGGACUGAGACACGGCCCAGACUCCUACGGGAGGCAGCAGUGGGGAAUUUUGGACAAUGGGCGCAAGCCUGAUCCAGCCAUGCCGCGUGCAGGAUGAAGGCCUUCGGGUUGUAAACUGCUUUUGUACGGAACGAAAAGCCUUCUUUUAAUACAGGAGGGUCAUGACGGUACCGUAAGAAUAAGCACCGGCUAACUACGUG